UCUGCUUGGAUUAAUCAAGUUUUAAAUUGUAAUGCUAAAGAUUUAGUUGAUGACUAGAGAGAGAGUAGAUUAUCUCUGUUGUAGAAUUUUUAGUUAAGUCUGCUAUGGAAAUGUGGUUUACAUGAUUACCAUCUAAUUUCCAUCGGAGUGAAGUAAAUUUUUAAAAGAUUCCAAUCAGACUGGACAACAUGGGGAUGCUGCCUUAAUCUCUUUAACCAUGAUUUACAGGUGAUCGCCAAGAAUAAAUUUGAAAUAUGGAUUAUAAUCGAUGGAACAUGUGUUUGAAACUUAAGUUGCAGAGGGAUAUUUUAAAAAAAGCUGACUUUCCUUCAAACGGUUAGAAAUGGAAGAUUUCUUUCACCGAAGAAACAAGUCAAAUGACUCAAAUGUCAAUUGUAGGACCAUCCCCAGCAGCGUCAACCUGUAGAAGGAAAGGCCAGUUUGCAUGUCCUUCACACUCGAAGGUCAAGGAGAUCAUUACGUAAAACGUGUUAUGCAGUG